AUUGAACGCUGGCGGAAUGCUUUACACAUGCAAGUCGAGCGGCAGCGCGGGGGCAACCCUGGCGGCGAGCGGCGAACGGGUGAGUAACGCAUCGGAACGUACCUUGUAGUGGGGGAUAACUAUCCGAAAGGAUAGCUAAUACCGCAUACGCCCUGAGGGGGAAAGGGGGGGAUCGCAAGACCUCUCGCUACAGGAGCGGCCGAUGUCCGAUUAGCUAGUUGGUGAGGUAAAGGCUCACCAAGGCGACGAUCGGUAGCUGGUCUGAGAGGAUGAUCAGCCACACUGGGACUGAGACACGGCCCAGACUCCUACGGGAGGCAGCAGUGGGGAAUUUUGGACAAUGGGGGCAACCCUGAUCCAGCCAUUCCGCGUGAGUGAAGAAGGCCUUCGGGUUGUUAAAGACUCUUUCUAGCCGGGAAGAAAGUACGUCUUGGAUAAUACUUGUAGGCGGAUGACGGUACCGGAAGAA
rnacentral:rRNA from 1 species